rnacentral:lncRNA from 1 species
UUUGUUACGUAUCCGAGUAGGGAACGUAACAGAAACACUUCCUCACACACUUUCACAGGUAAAGAACAAUAGAUCGGUUUUGAAUAAAACCUCUUUUAUUGAAUGGAAAUAAUUGAAUCAACGAAACAACCAAUAACUAGGAGAAGGAUCUCCGUUAGUUAUUUGAGAGCAUAACCUCUCUUACAAAACUCAAAAAUCAAAAGCAUACCUUUUACCCUAGGCUUCCCCUUUAUUUAUAAUAAAUACUUCCCGCCCCAAACCUGUACUAAAUAUGUAGAAAAAUAACCUUAUUUGUUAUAAUUAACUUAUACGAAUAUAUUUAGCCUUAUUUACUAUAUUUAACUUAUACCCAAUAAUAUCUUAAGAUAUGGUCUUGUUUACUCUAAUUAGCUCUAGCUAAAUAUCUUUUCAGAAUAUCUCUCUUAUUACUCUAAUUAGUUUCCUGUCCAUCCUAACCGUGGAGAUAGUUAGGAUGCUUCCUCGUUGCUUCCAACUGUUUGGUCCCCUUCUUCCUUACUCCUUUCUUCCGUUCAGUCACUCUUUCUCUCUCUCUCAUAUCUCCUUCUUUCAUACAUUUUCUAGCCCCUAACAUUACCCACCGCCCCAUGAUCAACCUUGUCCUCAAGGUUGAAAUCUGGAUAUUGGUCUCUGAUGGUCAUGGCAUCUUCCUACGUCGCUCCAUCUGGUCCCCCCUCUUGCCAUUCUAUUAACCAUUGUUGCACCUCGUCCUUCCCUUGUUGGACUUGUCUUUUGUCCAGAAUUCUGAUCGACCAAAAGGAUGGACCCUCCACCUGCAAGUUUGCUGAUAACUCCUUCUCCUCACUUCUUCCCCCCACUGCUUUCUUCAACUGGGAUACAUGGAAAACUGGAUGUAUCCUUGUGGUAUCGGGCAAUUAGAGCUUGAAAGUCACUCCUCCGAUUUUCUGAGUGACUUGGAAAGGCCCAAAAUACCGAGCGACUAACUUAGGAUGAAGCCUGAAUGACAUUGAGGUCUGCCUGUGUGGUCUGAUCUUCAAGUAUACCCAGUCUCCUACCUCCACAUCUACUGGUCUCCUUGCUUUGUUAGCCUACUUCACCAUCAGUUCCUGGGCCCGUGCCAAGUGAAACUUCAAUCUUUUUAAUGUUUU